AGCAUCCAUGGUCCAGCGGUAGGAUAAUUGCCUUCCAUACAUUCGCUUAGUGCUUAGUAAGCAAUGAUUAGUCAGCAAUUGGCACGGGUUCGACUCCCGUUGGAUGCAA